rnacentral:rRNA from 1 species
CAGUCGCCACGGUAAUACGGAGGGUGCAAGCGUUAAUCGGAAUUACUGGGCGUAAAGCGCACGCAGGCGGUGAGUUAAGUCUGUUGUGAAAUCCCCGGGCUCAACCUGGGAAUGGCAAUGGAUACUGGCAAGCUAGAGUGUGUCAGAGGAUGGUGAAAUUCCCGGUGUAGCGGUGAAAUGCGUAGAGAUCGGGAGGAACAUCAGUGGCGAAGGCGGCCAUCUGGGACAACACUGACGCUGAGGCACGAAAGCGUGGGGAGCAAACAGGAUUAGAGACCCGCGUAGUCCCUGUCUCUUAUAC